AGCUCCAAUAGCGUAUAUUAAAGUUGUUGCAGUUAAAAAGCUCGUAGUUGAAUUUCUGAUAGAAGGGAGCGGUUCCGCAUUCUUGCGGAUACUGGCUCGUCUUCCGUCAUCCUUGGGCUUAGUCUCGCUGAUAUUAACUUAUCGGCGUGUUCGAUGCCCAUCGUUUACUGUGAGCAAAUUAGAGUGUUUCAAAGCAGGCAUUUUGCCAUUGAAUAUAUUAGCAUGGAAUAAUAAGAUAGGAUUUCACGAUUUUAUUUUGUUGGUUUGCGUUGUGAAAUAAUGAUUAAGAGGGACAGUUGUGGGUAUUCGUAUUCAGAUGUCAGAGGUGAAAUUCUUAGAUUAUCGGAAGACGAACGACUGCGAAAGCAUUUACCAAGGAUGUUUUCA
rnacentral:rRNA from 1 species